UACGAAGGGUGCAAGCGUUACUCGGAAUUACUGGGCGUAAAGCGUGCGUAGGUGGUUUGUUAAGUCUGCUGUGAAAGCCCCGGGCUCAACCUGGGAAUGGCAGUGGAUACUGGCAAGCUAGAGUGCGGUAGAGGGGUGUGGAAUUCCCGGUGUAGCGGUGAAAUGCGCAGAUAUCGGGAGGAACACCUAUGGCGAAGGCAGCUCGCUGGGACGUUACUGACGCUGAGACGCGAAAGCGUGGGGAGCAAACAGG
rnacentral:rRNA from 1 species